rnacentral:rRNA from 1 species
AGAUUAGAGUUUGAUCAUGGCUCAGGAUGAACGCUAGCGGCAGGCCUAACACAUGCAAGUCGAACGGUAACAGGGAAAAGCUUGCUUUUCCGCUGACGAGUGGCGCACGGGUGCGUAACGCGUAUACAAUCUACCUUUUGCUGUGGGAUAGCCCAGGGAAACUUGGAUUAAUACCGCAUAGUAUAUAAGAUCGGCAUCGUUUUUAUAUUAAAGGUUACGGCAAAAGAUGAGUAUGCGUCCUAUUAGCUAGAUGGUGUGGUAACGGCACACCAUGGCGACGAUAGGUAGGGGCCCUGAGAGGGGGAUCCCCCACACUGGUACUGAGACACGGACCAGACUCCUACGGGAGGCAGCAGUGAGGAAUAUUGGGCAAUGGAGGCAACUCUGACCCAGCCAUGCCGCGUGCAGGAAGACUGCCCUAUGGGUUGUAAACUGCUUUUAUACGGGAAGAAACACCGCUACGUGUAGCGGCUUGACGGUACCGUAAGAAUAAGGAUCGGCUAACUCCGUGCCAGCAGCCGCGGUAAUACGGAGGAUCCAAGCGUUAUCCGGAAUCAUUGGGUUUAAAGGGUCCGUAGGUGGAUAAUUAAGUCAGAGGUGAAAUCCUGCAGCUCAACUGUAGAAUUGCCUUUGAUACUGGUUGUCUUGAGUCAUUGUGAAGUAGUUAGAAUAU